rnacentral:sRNA from 1 species
UUAUGACGGUCUUCGGCCGCGAGGCGUUC